rnacentral:rRNA from 1 species
UACGGAGGGUGCAAGCGUUGUUCGGAAUUACUGGGCGUAAAGCGCACGUAGGCGGGUUUGUAAGUCGAUUGUGAAAUCCCUGGGCUCAACCUAGGAAUGGCAGUCGAAACUGCAAAUCUUGAAUGCCUGAGAGGAUGGGGGAAUUCCUGGUGGAGAAGUGAAAUUCGUAGAUAUCUGGAGGAACACCGGUGGCGAAGGCGGCAUCCUGGACCGACACUGACACUGAGGAGCGAAAGCCAGGGGAGCAAACGGG